rnacentral:tRNA from 1 species
GCCUUAGCUCAGUUGGUAGAGCGUCUCACUCGUAAUGAGAAGGUCGAGAGUUCGAUUCUCUCAG